rnacentral:rRNA from 1 species
AGGAAUUGGCGGGGGAGCACCACAAGGGGUGGAUGGUACGGUUCAAUUGGAUACAACGCCAGGAACCUCACCACAGGCGACAGCAGUAUGAAGGCCAGACUGAAGAUCUUUCAUGACAAGCUGAGAGGUGCUGCAUGGCCAUCGUCAGGUAGUGGUGUGAAUCGCGCUCCAAGCGCGAGCACAAACUGUUUGGUUAAGUCCAGCAACGAGCGAGACCCAUACUUUUAGUUGCCAACUUUGUCUCCGGACGGGGUGCACUCUAAAAGGACUGCCCGUGUUAAAUGGGAGGAAGGAGUGGGCGACGGUAGGUCAGUAUGGCCCGAAUCCUGUGGGCUACACGCGGCAUACAUUGGCCGGAACAACGGGUCGCAACGCCGAGAGGGGGAGCUCAUUAUCAAAUCCGGUCAAGCUACGAUCGAGGG